rnacentral:rRNA from 1 species
UACAGAGGGUGCAAGCGUUGUUCGGAAUUAUUGGGCGUAAAGCGCGUGUAGGCGGCUUUGCAAGUCGGGUGUGAAAGCCCUCAGCUCAACUGAGGAAGUGCGCCCGAAACUGCAGAGCUUGAGUACCGGAGAGGGUGGCGGAAUUCCCCAAGUAGAGGUGAAAUUCGUAGAUAUGGGGAGGAACACCGGUGGCGAAGGCGGCCACCUGGACGGUCACCUGACGCUGAGACGCGAAAGCGUGGGGAGCAAACAGG